AUACGUAGGGAGCAAGCGUUGUCCGGAUUUACUGGGUGUAAAGGGUGCGUAGGCGGAUUUUCAAGUCAGUAGUGAAAUCUGGGGGCUUAACUCCCAAACUGCUAUUGAAACUGUAAAUCUUGAGUGAAGUAGAGGUAGGCGGAAUUCCCGGUGUAGCGGUGAAAUGCGUAGAGAUCGGGAGGAACACCAGUGGCGAAGGCGGCCUACUGGGCUUUAACUGACGCUGAGGCACGAAAGCAUGGGUAGCAAACAGGAUUAGAUACCCUGGUAGUCCAUGCCGUAAACGAUGAUUACUAGGUGUGGGGGGUCUGACCCCUUCCGUGCCGGAGUUAACACAAUAAGUAAUCCACCUGGGAAGUACGGCCGCAAGGUUGAA
rnacentral:rRNA from 1 species